UCAUCGUAUACGAACAGAAUUUCUGAUUCGGUACGUACAGAUUCAUAUUUGAUUAAAUAUGCCACUUUGACGCUUACCGAGUAAUUUAGUCAAUAUCAAAUAAACUAUUAUGGAUGAUGAACCUAUUGGCAUCAUUAAGAUCUCGAUUAUGUACGAUUCUCCCCCCUGCGCUCUUGGGGACGUAAAUAAUCUAUGUUUUGGUCACGCACCGCACCUUUGUGCGACGCCUUGUGUACCGCUCAGUAUUAUUGACUCGCUUAGCGUACCGGGGUCGCGGCCGCUACUAAGUAAGUUUAAAGACGGGAUAGUUGAAACCUACCAUCACAUCACCUGAUGGUACCACUAUUGCCCACUGCCCCUUAAUCCCAAGCUAAGGCCUCUCCCUCGGACUCUCUACCGAUGGUGAAGGUUCCUUCCGUCGUCCGCGCUUUUAAUGGGUUAACGUUGCUCACGUCUCCAUCACUGUUAUUUAUUGUUAUGCCCUGGGCUGUUCCCAGAGCAUUAACCUUACUCAUGUUAAAUUUGGGGAAUUGCUCCUUGUUAACCUCCCGUUCAGACCA
rnacentral:rRNA from 1 species